ensembl:lncRNA
AUUUUUUGGUAGCUACUGCUUUUAACAUACUCCACGGUGUGUUGCAUUGCCUGUUCGCCAUGUCGUCCCUCUUUGGAAGAUCAGGAUGUGCUUCUUCACGCUGAAGAUGACGAUGGCUGUGUUUUUGGCGACCGCUGUGCAUCUGUGGUGGCAUUAGCUCGUUUAGUGUCUUGUUACGUCGCUUUUAGCUUUUUUCUGCCUAUUUUGUUUCUCACUAAGAAAAAAACACACACAUACUCCUAGACUUUUUCAUCCCCCUUACCAUUUAUUUCCCCCUCUCCCUUUCUCUCCCAAUUCCUCUUUCUUUCGUCCUUUCUAACUUUCUCUCUCUAGCUCUCCCACUCUCUCUCUCUCCCUCUCUCCUUCCUGUGAAAGGAGAGUAGGAGGGCGGUGCAGCAGUGGCGGAGGGUUUUUUGGGACAGGUGCCAACUUCAAACAAAAGACACAAAAAGGCAAUGAGUGAGAGGCCUCCAACGAAAUAAAAAAAAUAUGUUGCAUGUUGAAACACAAGAAGUGAUUUGUAGUGAUCGUGUACUGUAUGCGCGCGUGUGUGUAUGUGUGUGUAUGUGUGUAUGUGUGCAAAAACAAACUCUUGCAGGAUUCCCGAGCGCCCGAUUGAGUGAGCGGAGAUUUAGAAUUCUCUCUCUCUCUCACUGUCUUGUGGAGGCAUUUGAGUUUCGGACUCGGAGGGAGGGGUGGUGGGUGAAAAGGGAAGGGGUCCUCCUUUUUGGUUGCUGUUGAAUUAUUCACAUUCCUGGGCCAACCAACCCAAUGCAGAGACGGGACUGGCUGACUGGCUGUAGCUGCUGCCUUUAAGCAAUCAUUCGACAUGCAGCUUGUCUGUUUGCUAACAUUCCUCAUUCAAAUACUUUUUAACUGCCAGACGGGGAUGACCAUGCGCCUCCCAGGCACGAACAUGGACUCUUGUGGCGCAGCCCGGUGAUAGACCGAGACAGACUAGGGGGUGGCAGACAGGAAGACAGCCCAGAUAUGAUUCACUGAGCUGGGGGAAAGGCAGCUCCCUGUCAUCCUUCUCUGGUUCUCACCGGGAGUCUGAAUCUAACUAACUAACUGGCUGACUGACUGUGGCUGCCCUCUGUCUGUCCCUCUCUACAGGAUAACUGCAUUAUGGUUCUGGAUCUACUACCCUGGUGGAAAAUAAGGCCUGUCUGGAUUUCAACAUCCUGGAUUUCGCAUCCAUAGUUGUUGUGUGCUGCUGACUGUCUACCCAUGUCCGAUUUGAGGUUGAUUGGAUCUGGGGGUCAAUGUAUAGAGACGGAACAGACCCCGGAUUAAAAGAUGGUGUGAACCUGAGAUGGGUCAAGGAGGAACAGGAGGCAAAAUAUGAGAUCGGACAUGGACUCAUUGCAUGCUUCUACACCUGCAUUGCUUGCUGUUUGGGGUUUUAGGCUGUGUUUCUGUACAGCACUUUGUGACAUCACCUGAUGUAAGAAGGGCUUCAUAAAUAAAUGUGAUUGAUUGAUUGCAUGCAAUUCACCUUUUCAUGUCUGAGCUCUCACAUGAGGAUCACUUUAAAGGACCACUCGGACUGUUCGUCAGAGACAAACCAACUGUCCUUUGGUGUGAGGUAGUAGGUUGUAUAGUUUUAGGGUCACACCCAAGUUGUCAGAUGACUAUACAACAUACUGUCUUUCCUGAAGUGGCUGUAAUAUCAUCACAGACUCUCCACAUGAAGAACCCUGCAAUGAAAAUAUACCUUUCGUGCCUCCAUUAAUACCAUUAUUACAACAUUAUUACAUCAUUGUAUUAUUAUUAAUUUCAUAUUUGAACAGGAAAUGGGAUUUCACAUUUUCUGGUUGGACUCCAUCUCUAACCAACUGGUCAAUCGGAUUGUGACCUGGUCGAUGGUUCAUGGUGUUCGCACAGAGUGAGGUAGUAGGUUGUGUGGUUUCAGGGUUGUUAUUUUGCCCCAUCAGGAGUUAACUGUACAACCUACUGCCUUCCCUGAAGGGCAGCAACACAACGCUACGAGCAUGGCCACAAUGGAGCUCACUGUCUACUGUGCUGCUUUUAAGUGGAGCGAGAAGUGAAGAAGGUAAGCUAUCUCAAAUCAUUGCCUUGGUACUUUUUUAUUUAUUUAACUUAACUAGGCAAGUCAGUUAAGAACAAAUUCUUGUUUUCAAUGACAGCCAAGGAACAGUGGGUUAACUGCCUUGGUCGGGGAUAGGACAACCGAUUUUCACCUUGUCAGCUCAGGGAUUUGAUCUUGCAACCUUUUGGUUACUAGACGAACGCUCCAACCACCUAGGCUACCUACCAAAAUGUGCUAAACAGAGUAUUUUAUGUAUUGGAAUUUGGAAAUAUAUAUAUAUUUCAUAUAUCUUCAAUUUUGUAAUAAUCCAUACUGUACUAAAAGUCAUAAUAAAAAGUGAGUAGUCUUAGUCACAUGUGUGUCGACUCCUUUUGGUUGUUAAGAAUUGGAAGUAUAUAGUUAUGAAUGUUCCUAGAAAUACUGUAUGUGGCCAUUUCUUAUCCUGGACAUGAAGACUGAAACAUCUGCUGGGAGAAUGGAUCAAUCAAUACAUAAAGAAGGAUACAUGUCAGGAUACAAAUAAAUGAAUACAUGUCAGGAUAAAACAAGGCCGACAUUUUGUAACAUUGUGUUUGAAAUCUACAACGUUUGUGUCCUCACUCUCUUCCCAGCCAGAUUCCCAUGUCAUUUAUAGCUUUUAUGGUAGAUAAAAAUAUGAGCACAGCCAGCCCGGACAGCCAUUAGCCAGUGUAUAGGGCAGACGGGCCCUCAGUCACAGAUGCCUAUGUCACUGCUCCAGAAUUUAUGACUGUCGGCUGGCACAGGCACACACAGUCCCAGACCGACAGAAGAAAACACGACCGCAGGGGGAAAUGAGGGUUUGAAGACUGCGUUUUCUAUACAAGGACACAACAUCUCAAACAGCACCUUAUAACUGUUUUAACUGUAUUUAUUAAAUGUGAAUGAAGUGAGUUCACCGGGCGAUUUGUUCAUUGACAAUUAGGUAACUGGGUAAUUAGGUAACAACACCAGGUGGCGCCAUAGAUCAUUGUAUUUUCUGCAGCCAGGCAAGUUUUCCUUCCGUAAUGAUUUUACAGACCGAAUGAGAAUACAUUUGUAGAGAUAUAUAGAAGUAAAUUCAGCCAUUGCAGCCCAAACCAAGCCACCAUAAAGAUAUAGUCAGGAAGCAAACUGUGGAUGCAUUUUUGGAAUGACCAGACUAUACCAACAAGCAAUCGUUGAGAGAAAGUUUUAAAAAAGUGGACAGUCACUUUAGCCUACUGUCUACUUAUAGUUGGGUAGACUUGCCAUCGUGCAGAUGAUAUAUUUAGUUUAUGUCCACAUCUCAGUGGUUUUCUGUAUUUCUUUCUUUAAAACUUAUUUUAAGAUUGACUGCCAGAGUUGACAGUGAAUGAUUUACAGUCUAAAGACAUGUUGGCCUAUUCAUGAAACAUUUGGAAAUGUCAUACAGACACUUCACAUUCAUACAUACACUGACUCCUCUUUUAUUUGCUAUCAUGUGUUGCAUGUGGCUUGAUGGCUACUUG